rnacentral:rRNA from 1 species
AGUGAACGCUGGCGGCAGGCCUAAUACAUGCAAGUCGAACGGUGUCUUCGGACAUAGUGGCGCACGGGUGCGUAACACGUAUGCAACCUACCUUACAUUGGAGGAUAGCCUUUCGGAAGGGAGAUUAAUACCGCAUAAGACAGUAGCUGGGCAUCCAGCAGCUGUUAAAGAUUUAUCGAUGUAAGCUGGGCAUGCGUCCAAUUAGCUAGUUGGUGAGGUAACGGCUCACCAAGGCAAUGAUUGGUAGGGAAACUGAGAGGUCAAUCCCCAACACUGGCACUGAGAUACGGGCCAGACUCCUACGGGAGGCAGCAGUAGGGAAUAUUGGGCAAUGGACGCAAGUCUGACCCAGCCAUGCCGCGUGCAGGAUGAAGGCGUUAUGCGUUGUAAACUGCUUUUAUACAGGAAGAAACGACUCUUGCGAGAGGCAUUGACGGUACUGUAUGAAUAAGCACCGGCUAACUCCGUGCCAGCCGCCGCCGUAACAC